rnacentral:rRNA from 1 species
AUUGAACGCUGGCGGCAGGCUUAACACAUGCAAGUCGAGCGGAGAUGAGGUGCUUGCACCUUAUCUUAGCGGCGGACGGGUGAGUAAUGCUUAGGAAUCUGCCUAUUAGUGGGGGACAACAUUCCGAAAGGAAUGCUAAUACCGCAUACGCCCUACGGGGGAAAGCAGGGGAUCUUCGGGCCUUGCGCUAAUAGAUGAGCCUAAGUCGGAUUAGGUAGUUGGGGGGGUAAAGGCCUACCAAGGCGACGAUCUGUAGCGGGUCUGAGAGGAUGAUCCGCCACACUGGGACUGAGACACGGCCCAGACUCCUACGGGAGGCAGCAGUGGGGAAUAUUGGACAAUGGGCGGAAGCCUGAUCCAGCCAUGCCGCGUGUGUGAAGGAGGCCUUUUGGUUGUAAAGCACUUUAAGCGAGGAGGAGGCUACCUGGAUUAAUACUCAAGGAUAGUGGACGUUACUCGCAGAAUAAGCACCGGCUAACUCUGUGCCAGCCGCCGCCGUAACAC